GCGUCGUUAGUCCAGUGGUUAGGAUACUGCCUUCCCAGAGCUGAGAGCUGAGAGGCAGGGGUCAUGGGUUCAAAUCCCAUACGACGCA